rnacentral:rRNA from 1 species
UACGUAGGGUGCAAGCGUUAAUCGGAAUUACUGGGCGUAAAGCGUGCGCAGGCGGUUUUGUAAGACAGUGGUGAAAUCCCCGGGCUCAACCUGGGGACUGCCAUUGUGACUGCAAGGCUAGAGUGCGGCAGAGGGGGAUGGAAUUCCGCGUGUAGCAGUGAAAUGCGUAGAUAUGCGGAGGAACACCGAUGGCGAAGGCAAUCCCCUGGGCCUGCACUGACGCUCAUGCACGAAAGCGUGGGGAGCAAACAGG